UACGAAGGGGGCUAGCGUUGUUCGGAAUUACUGGGCGUAAAGGGCGCGUAGGCGGCGUGUCAAGUCAGGCGUGAAAGCCCCGGGCUCAACCUGGGAACCGCGCUUGAGACUGGCAUGCUCGAGUUCGGGAGAGGAUGGUGGAAUUCCCAGUGUAGAGGUGAAAUUCGUAGAUAUUGGGAAGAACACCGAUGGCGAAGGCAGCCAUCUGGACCGACACUUACGCUGAGGCGCGAAAGCGUGGGGAGCAAACAGG
rnacentral:rRNA from 1 species